rnacentral:rRNA from 1 species
AUGUGCAUCCCAAAAAAUGAGGGUGGAAUGGGAUUUCUUGAUCUCCAUGCUUUCAACUUGGCAUUAAUUGCAAAACAGUGUUGAAGACUGAUUUCCAAACCUGAUACUUUAUGCGCAAGAGUUCUUCAUGCAAAAUAUUACCCUGAUGGCAAUAUGUUGAAGGCCGGAAAUAAGAGAGGAUCCUCAUUUACAUGGCAAUCUAUUGUUUCGGGUAUACAAACAUUCAUGAGAGGUCAUAUUUGGCGUGUUGGUACAGGCUCAAACAUCAACAUUUGGACGGAUUGCUGGGUGCCAAACAACCCAAACAGGAAGAUCCUGACCCCGAAAGGUACUUUCUUGCUUUCUAGAGUGGAAGAAUUAAUCGACCCGUACUCAGGGGAGUGGGACGAAGCUCUUAUCAGAAGCAUUUUCUCUCCGAUAGAUGUUGACAGGAUCUUGCGGAUUCCUUUGAAUGUCUAG